CCUACGGGUGGCAGCAGUGGGGAAUAUUGGGCAAUGGAGGAAACUCUGACCCAGCAAUGCCGCGUGAAUGAAGAAGGUCUUCGGAUUGUAAAGUUCUUUAGUCAGGGAAGAAGUCAAUGACGGUACCUGAAGAAUAAGAUCCGGCUAACUACGUGCCGGCAGCCGCGGUAAUACGUAGGGAGCAAGCGUUGUUCGGAAUGACUGGGCGUAAAGGGUGCGUAGGCGGUUGUACAAGUUAGAAGUGAAAUACCCAGGGCUUAACUCGGGUGCUGCUUCUAAAACUGUAUGACUUGAGUGUAGGAGAGGUUAGUGGAAUGCCUAGUGUAGCGGUGGAAUGCGUAGAUAUUAGGAGGAACACCAGAUGCGAAGGCGGCUAACUGGACUGCAACUGACGCUGAGGCACGAAAGUGUGGGGAGCAAACAGGAUUAGAUACCCUGGUAGUC
rnacentral:rRNA from 1 species